rnacentral:rRNA from 1 species
GAUGAACGCUGGCGGCGUGCCUAAUACAUGCAAGUCGAGCGAACAGAUAAGGAGCUUGCUCCUUUGACGUUAGCGGCGGACGGGUGAGUAACACGUGGGUAACCUACCUAUAAGACUGGAAUAACUCCGGGAAACCGGGGCUAAUGCCGGAUAACAUUUAGAACCGCAUGGUUCUAAAGUGAAAGAUGGUUUUGCUAUCACUUAUAGAUGGACCCGCGCCGUAUUAGCUAGUUGGUAAGGUAACGGCUUACCAAGGCAACGAUACGUAGCCGUCCUGAGAGGGUGAUCGGCCACACUGGAACUGAGACACGGUCCAGACUCCUACGGGAGGCAGCAGUAGGGAAUCUUCCGCAAUGGGCGAAAGCCUGACGGAGCAACGCCGCGUGAGUGAUGAAGGUCUUCGGAUCGUAAAACUCUGUUAUUAGGGAAGAACAAAUGUGUAAGUAACUGUGCACGUCUUGACGGUACCUAAUCAGAAAGCCACGGCUAACUACGUG